AGGAAAGGUGGCCGAGUGGUCAAAGGCGUAGCAUUGGAAAUGCUAUGUAAAUAUUUGUUUACCGAGGGUUCGAAUCCCUCUCUUUCCUA
rnacentral:tRNA from 1 species